UCCUUCUCCUUCUUCCUUAUUUUUCUGUUUUCUCUCGGCUAAACGGUAGCAGCCCUCUUCUCUCUUUCUGCUUCUCUCUCUGUUGGCACAGCAGGCAGUAAGAGCACCCCAAAGAACCCAUCCUCUUCUUUGUAUACAGAACGAAACUAGAAAACUCUCCAGCAGCCAUAGUAGAGCAGCACCACUCCUUUUGCUGCAGCAAUUCAGUAAAGGAAGGUGGAGCCAAACCAGAAACUCUCCCCUCUCUCCUCUGUAUUUUCUGCAGAAAUUCACCCAAGUUCUCUCUCUCUAACUCUCUGUGCUUCUCAUAGCCACGGUGCUAAAACAGGGAAGAAGGAUCCUCUCCAUCUCAGCGGCUCUUUCUCUGAGAAAGCAAAGAAAAAGGGGGAAGAAAUAUACCCUCUGAACCUCUCUCCUGUUCGGUUCCAGCAGCAGGGAGUUUUCUCUCCCUCUCUCUCUCGUUCGGCUCAACACAAGAAAGAAGAAGAACUCUUCUUUCUUCUUUGGGUCUCAGGAACAAAAGAAAUAGAAAAGAAAAGCAAACAAAAAAAUAAGGAAGAAAAUGGACCCAUCUCCUUCUCUUUACCACUGAUUAUAUCUGUGAACGUUUUCCUGAAGCCAGAAGAAUUACUCAUGAGAUUGUGGUGAUAACUACAAUCUCAUGCGAGUUUUUGCAGGGUGAAUAGAAGGUCAAGACUAUUGGAAUAAUUAUUUUAAUAUGUAAUAUUUGUUGGAGAAGACAAUAAUUAUGUAUUUAUUAAGUGCCGCAUGUGGCACAUAUGUUAUUAUUUUGGAUGUAAUUAUUAUAUCAGAACAAAAUGUUAUUAUUUUUAUAUA